UACGGGCGAAAGCCUAAAACUCAAAAGACUUGACGGUGCCCCAACCCCCCUAGAGGAGCCUGUUCCAUAAUCGACAACCCCCGAUAUACCUAACCACCCCUAGACCCAAUCAGCCUAUAUACCGCCGUCAAUCAGCCUACCUUUAAAAGCCCUAUAGUAGGCCAAAUAGCAAACACUAAUAAGUCAGGUCAAGGUGUAGCUUAUGGGGUGGAGGAAAUGGGCUAC
rnacentral:rRNA from 1 species